rnacentral:rRNA from 1 species
UACAGAGGUGGCAAGCGUUGUUCGGAAUUACUGGGCGUAAAGGGCUCGUAGGCGGCCAACUAAGUCCGACGUGAAAUCCCCAGGCUUAACCUGGGAACUGCGUCGGAUACUGGAUGGCUUGAAUCCGGGAGAGGGAUGCGGAAUUCCAGGUGUAGCGGUGAAAUGCGUAGAUAUCUGGAGGAACACCGGUGGCGAAGGCGGCAUCCUGGACCGGCAUUGACGCUGAGGAGCGAAAGCCAGGGGAGCAAACGGG